AAUUGCUAGUAAUGGCAGGUCAGCAUACUGCCGUGAAUACGUUCCCGGGCCUUGUACACACCGCCCGUCACACCAUGAGAGUUGGGAAUACCCGAAGCCUGUGAGCUAACUUUAGGGGCAGCAGUCGAAGGUAGAAUCAAUGAUUGGGGUGAAGUCGUAACAAGGUACC
rnacentral:rRNA from 1 species